AUGAGUCACCAGUUCCAGCAAAAUAAAGACGGUGGUAGCAGAAAAUUGGUUUGGUUCCAGCAAAAUCUGAAGAUGGUAGUAGCAAAAAUUGGGGCUGAUUGUAAAAAAAAUGGUUACAACUGUGUGCGUCGCAUAUCCAUCCGAUCGUGGUCACCACCGUCGGGGUGUGGUCACAUCCGCCAGGAUGGCCUCCCGCUGGUUGCAGCUUCGCCAUGGAUGGUUGCAACUAUUCGUAGCGAGGUCGUAGCUCUGCGCCGCCGAAGUACUAUCGAAAGCACGAGCGAACGUUGGUUCCAGCACCAGAGGUUGCCGGUUCCAGCAUCUCUGCAUGCGGUUCCAGCAAACGUGACGGCCGGAUGCAACACCGCCGAUGAGCAAGAAAACACACUAGUUCCAGCAAAAGUCGCCGGUCGUAGCUCACGACCGCGCGGGAGGAAGACGAGGAUAGGGACAGCCAUGGCCGCAAGCAACCGUGGACAUGACGACGGAGAAAAAAAUGAUGACAAUGGGGCUUGCAGCACUCCGGUGCGUCCCCCUCAGCCCUCGCAGUAG
rnacentral:rRNA from 1 species